GGCUCAGUAACACGUGGACAAUCUGCCUUGAAGUCUGGAAUAACCUUGGGAAACUGAGGGUAAUACCCAAUAGGGAAAAAAAAGUGGAAACCUUUUUUUCUUCAAAGUUCCGACGCUUCACGAUCGGUCGGCGGCCCAUCAGGUAGUUGGUGAGGUAAAGGCUCACCAAGCCGAUGACGGGUAAAGGGCCAUGAGAGUGGUUGCCCUGAGAAGGGACACUGAGAUACAGGUCCCAGCCCUUACGGGGUGCAGCAGUCGCGAAAAACUCCGCAAUGCACGCAAGUGUGACGGGGGGAUUCUGAGUGCUUCGGUCUCACCGAGGCUUUUCGUAAGAGUAAAGAUCUUACGGAAUAAGUGGUGGGCAAGACUGGUGCCAGCCGCCGCGGUAACCCCAGCGCCACAAGUGGGAACCACGUUUAUUGGGUCUAAAGCAUCCGUAGCCGGCAUGUUAAAUGCCCUGUGAAAUCGUUCUGCCCAACAGAACGGCGUGCAGGGUAGACUGGCAAGCUAGGAACCAGGAAAGGUAAGCGGUAUUCUGUGGGGAGCGGUAAAAUGCUUUAAUUCACAGAGGACCACCGAUGGCGAAGGCAGCUUACUUUGAAUGGAUUCGACGGUGAAGGGAUGAAAGCUAGGGGAGCGAUCCGGAUUAGAUACCCGAGUAGUCCUAGCAGUAAACGCUGCGUGCCAGAUGUUGCACAAUCUUCGCGAUUGUGCAGUGUCGUAACGAAGGUGUUAAGCACGCCACCUGGGAAUUACGGUCGCAAGGCUGAAACUCAAAGGAAUUGACGG
rnacentral:rRNA from 1 species